rnacentral:rRNA from 1 species
CAGUAGCCGCGGGAAUACGGAGGGUGCAAGCGUUAAUCGGAAUUACUGGGCGUAAAGCGUGCGUAGGCGGUUCGUUAAGUCUGUUGUGAAAGCCCCGGGCUCAACCUGGGAAUGGCAAUGGAUACUGGCGAGCUAGAGUGUGUCAGAGGAUGGUGGAAUUCCCGGUGUAGCGGUGAAAUGCGUAGAGAUCGGGAGGAACAUCAGUGGCGAAGGCGGCCAUCUGGGACAACACUGACGCUGAGGCACGAAAGCGUGGGGAGCAAACAGGAUUAGAUACCCGUGUAGUCCCUGUCUCUUAUAA